rnacentral:rRNA from 1 species
AUUGAACGCUGGCGGCAUGCCUUACACAUGCAAGUCGAACGGCAGCACGGGGGCAACCCUGAUGGCGAGUGGCGAACGGGUGAGUAAUGCAUCGGAACGUGCCCAGUAGUGGGGGACAACCAGUCGAAAGAUUGGCUAAUACCGCAUACGACCUAUGGGUGAAAGCGGGGGACCGUAAGGCCUCGCGCUAUUGGAGCGGCCGAUGUCUGAUUAGCUAGUUGGUGAGGUAAAAGCUCACCAAGGCGACGAUCAGUAGCUGGUCUGAGAGGACGACCAGCCAAACUGGGACUGAGAGACGGCCCAGACUCCUACGGGAGGCAGCAGUGGGGAAUUUUGGACAAUGGGCGCAAGCCUGAUCCAGCCAUGCCGCGUGCGGGAAGAAGGCCUUCGGGUUGUAAACCGCUUUUGGCAGGAACGAAACGGCGACUUCUAAUACGAGUCGUUAAUGACGGUACCUGCAGAAUAAGCACCGGCUAACUACGUGCCAGCAGCCGCAGUAACAC